rnacentral:rRNA from 1 species
UUCCAGACUCCUACGGGAGGCAGCAGUGGGGGAUAUUGCACAAUGGGGGGAACCCUGAUGCAGCGACGCCGCGUGGGUGAAGAAGCGCCUCGGCGCGUAAAGCCCUGUCAGCAGGGAAGAAAGUGACGGUACCUGAAGAAGAAGCCCCGGCUAACUACGUGCCAGCAGCCGCGGUAAUACGUAGGGGGCAAGCGUUAUCCGGAUUUACUGGGUGUAAAGGGAGCGUAGACGGCAGUGCAAGUCCGGAGUGAAAGCCCGGGGCUCAACCCUGGGACUGCUCUGGAAACUGUAAAGCUGGAGUGCGGGAGGGGCAGGCGGAAUUCCUGGUGUAGCGGUGAAAUGCGUAGAUAUCAGGAGGAACACCGGCGGCGAAGGCGGCCUGCUGGACCGUAACUGACGUUGAGGCUCGAAAGCGUGGGGAGCAAACAGGAUUAGAUACCCCGGUAA